ensembl:lncRNA
AGCCAUGCAGUCGGCCAGCCAGACUACCAGGUAGCCAUGCAGUUAGCCAGACAGACUACCAGGUAUCCAUGCAGCCAGCCAGCCAGACUACCAGGUAGCCAUGCAGCCAGCCAGCCAGACUACCAGGUAUCCACGCAGCCAGCCAGCCAGACUACCAGGUAUGCAUGCAGCCAGCCAGCCAGACUACCAGGUAGCCAUGCAGCCAGCCAGCCAGACUACCAGGUAUCCAUGCAGCCAGCAGGACAGACUACCAGGUAGC